rnacentral:rRNA from 1 species
UACGAAGGGGGCUAGCGUUGUUCGGAUUUACUGGGCGUAAAGCGCACGUAGGCGGGCCGUUAAGUCAGGGGUGAAAUCCCGGAGCUCAACUCCGGAACUGCCCUUGAUACUGGCGGUCUUGAGGCCGGAAGAGGUGAGUGGAAUUCCCAGUGUAGAGGUGAAAUUCGUAGAUAUUGGGAAGAACACCAGUGGCGAAGGCGGCUCACUGGUCCGGUACUGACGCUGAGGUGCGAAAGCGUGGGGAUCAAACAGG